rnacentral:lncRNA from 10 species
UAAAAGGAGGUGGGGCCUACAGGAAGUAAUUAGGAUCAGAUGAGGUCAUGAGCUCAGGAUCCUCGUGAAUGGGAUUAGUAUUCUUAUAAGAGUGCUGAGAGAGCUGCUUUUCACCAUGUUAGGAUACAGUGAGAAGACCAAGUUCUGUAACCUGAAAGAAGGGUCUCUCCAAAACCUGAACGUGCUGGUACCCUGAUCCUGGACUUCUAACCUACAGAACUGGAAAAAAAAAUUCUAUUGCUUAAAAGCCAUGUAAUCUAUGGUAUUUUUGUUUAUAGAAAUGUAAAACAAGACAGAAAACUGGCAAUGAGAAGUGAGGGUGCUGCUGUAAAAAAAUAUCUAAAAAUGUGGAUGUGCUUUUGGACUAGUAUUCCCUACGGUGCCCUUCACACUGAUGUAUGAACUCAAGACAGGCCCACUUCUCUGCAGAAGAAUGUCCUAAUAUCAAAAAUGUGUCUCUGAUGAAUGUUGGACCAAAGGGAGUAAACAGAACCCAAGACAUCUAACAAAAUGUUCCCCAGAAUUAAGAUGAACACCAAAGAGAAUAGAUAAUUUUAUGGAAACUAUGUUGGUGGGAUCCACUUCCAGCUGUGUGUGUCUGCACACCUCAUUCCUCUUGGUCGUGAGACAAGAACUCAGAACUUGCUGAAAUGCAGAAGUGAAAGAGCAGUAUCACUCCAUCCUGCUGAACUACGGGAGUGAAGAAGCCACAGUAGGACUUUACUAGAAGUGAGGAUUGGAGAACAGAAUCUUUCCAAAAGUUUUGAAGAAGCUUCCAUGUUGUGAGAGAGCAUAUGGAGGGGGCCACGUGGCAAGGAACUGUAGUGGCCACUGAGUACUGAGAGUGCUGAGUGCUGAACAUAGAACCUCAGGGCAACAGUUGCAAAGACAUGAAUUCCACCAACAACAUGAAGGCCUUGGAAAUGGAUUAUUCUCUAGUCCAGGCUCUGAUCACCACAGCCCCAGCCAACACCUGAAUUUGAGCCUUGUGAGACCCUGGAGUAGAGAACUUAGCUAGGAUAUGCCUGACUUCUGCCCUACAGAAACAAAGACAUAAUAAAUGUGUGCUAUUUUAAGCUUCAAGUUUGUGAUGAUUUACUACACAGUAUAGAAAACUAAUACAAUAUUACUUUUCUUUCUGCAACAUAUGUUUCCAUUAGUCUAACUUCCAUCUUGAUUCAACAGAUAUUUUUUGAAUUCUUAUGCCAAGUGCUGUUAAGAAUUUAUCUCACAAUCACAUAGGUCAGUAAAUAGCAGCGACCAGAUGGGAGUUCAGGCCCUUUUAGUCAUUGCUCAGUGAUCAUUCCCUUACAAUAAACAUCUGUGGAUGCACUAAUCCAAAUAUCAAGUGUGUGAUUGCCACAAAUAUUUGAGUUAUAAGAUGUUAGAAAUGUUUAA